rnacentral:rRNA from 1 species
GGUGGUGCAUGGCUGUCGUCAGCUCGUGCCGUGAGGUGUUGUGUUAAGUGUCGCAACGAGCGCAACCCCUGUCCUUAUUUGCCAGCGGAUCAUGCCGGGAACUCUAGGGAGACUGCCGGUGCCAAACCGGAGGAAGGUGGGGAUGACGUCAAGUCAUCAUGCCCCUUAUGUCCAGGGCUGCACACAUGCUACAAUGCGCGAUACAGAGGGUUGCGAUCCCGCAGGGGGGAGCGAAUCCCAAAAAGUCGCGCUCAGUUCGGAUCGGGGUCUGCAACUCGACCCCGUGAAGUCGGAGUCGCUAGUAAUCGCAGAUCAGCAAUGCUGCGGUGAAUACGUUCCCGGGCCUUGU